CCUACGGGAGGCAGCAGUGAGGAAUAUUGGUCAAUGGACGAGAGUCUGAACCAGCCAAGUAGCGUGAAGGAUGACUGCCCUAUGGGUUGUAAACUUCUUUUAUAUGGGAAUAAAAUGUUCCACGUGUGGGAUUUUGUAUGUACCAUAUGAAUAAGGAUCGGCUAACUCCGUGCCAGCAGCCGCGGUAAUACGGAGGAUCCGAGCGUUAUCCGGAUUUAUUGGGUUUAAAGGGAGCGUAGGUGGAUUGGUAAGUCAGUUGUGAAAGUUUGCGGCUCAACCGUAAAAUUGCAGUUGAAAAUGGCAGUCUUGAGUACAGUAGAGGUGGGCGGAAUUCGUGGUGUAGCGGUGAAAUGCUUAGAUAUCACGAAGAACUCCGAUUGCGAAGGCAGUUCACUGGACUGCAACUGACACUGAGGCUCGAAAGUGUGGGUAUCAAACAGGAUUAGAUACCCUUGUAGUC
rnacentral:rRNA from 1 species